UACGUAGGGUGCGAGCGUUAAUCGGAAUUACUGGGCGUAAAGCGUGCGCAGGCGGUUCGUGAUGUCUGGUGUGAAAGCCCCGGGCUCAACCUGGGAAUGGCAUUUGGGACUGCAAGGCUGGAGUUUGGCAGAGGAGACUGGAAUUCCCGGUGUAGCAGUGAAAUGCGUAGAUAUCGGGAGGAAUACCGAUGGCGAAGGCAGGUCUCUGGGCUAUAACUGACGCUCAUGCACGAAAGCGUGGGGAGCAAACAGG
rnacentral:rRNA from 1 species